GAUGAACGCUGGCGGCGUGCCUAAUACAUGCAAGUCGAGCGAACCACUUCGGUGGUGAGCGGCGAACGGGUGAGUAACACGUAGGUGAUCUGCCCAUCAGACGGGGACAACGAUUGGAAACGAUCGCUAAUACCGGAUAGGACGAAAGUUUAAAGGUGCUUCUGGCACCGCUGAUGGAUGAGCCUGCGGCGCAUUAGCUAGUUGGUAGGGUAAAGGCCUACCAAGGCGACGAUGCGUAGCCGACCUGAGAGGGUGAACGGCCACACUGGGACUGAGACACGGCCCAGACUCCUACGGAGGCAGCAGUAGGGAAUCUUCGGCAAUGGGCGAAAGCCUGACCGAGCAACGCCGCGUGAAUGAUGAAGGCCUUCGGGUUGUAAAAUUCUGUUAUAAGGGAAGAACGACUUUAGUAGGAAAUGGCUAGAGUGUAACGGUACCUUAUGAGAAAGCCACGGCUAACUACGUGCCAGCCGCCGCGGUAA
rnacentral:rRNA from 1 species